AUGUUAUGUGUGAACAUGAGGAAGAAAUUCCAGAGAAUAACAGUGACCAUGUUUGCAAACAAUAAACAUUUCUUUAGCAAUAUCUGCCAUGUUAAGGAUUUACCGUCUUUGAUUGAAGAUAAAACAAAUGGUGGCCCAUUCUUGGCCAGACACCGCCAACCAAGGAUUAGAGGAUUAUUGACAUCUCUCUUUCACUCCAAAACACUUGCCAUUUCAGUAGGAAUUGGUGCAUGA